CCGUGAGGGUGUUGGGUUAAGUCCCGCAACGAGCGCAACCCCCGCCGUUAGUUGCCAGCGGUUCGGCCGGGCACUCUAACGGGACUGCCCGCGAAAGCGGGAGGAAGGAGGGGGACGACGGUCUGGUCAGCAUGGCCCUUACGGCCUGGGCGACACACGUGCUACAAUGCCCACUACAAAGCGAGGCCACCCGGCAACGGGGAGCUAAUCGCAAAAAGGUGGGCCCAGUUCGGAUUGGGGUCUGCAACCCGACCCCAUGAAGCCGGAAUCGCUAGUAAUCGCGGAUCAGCCAUGCCGCGGUGAAUACGUUCCCGGGCCUU
rnacentral:rRNA from 1 species